AUGAAGCGUGUUCUGCAGCCUUCUUACCCAAGGAAGAGAAGAAUGGUGAUAAUCCAGAGCUGUGCUCAUGUUUCCUACCUCCUGACUGGGCCCCUGCCUGAGGUGGAGCUAACUGACCAGGACACACGAAACUGCUGGACACAACAUGAGAAACUGCUGGCUGUGAGAGGUGACAUUCAGAGAGCCAGCAGAGGAAGGUCUCUGCCUCCAGAAGCAAAUGCCAGUAAUCCUAGCUCGGCUGUGACUGUGCUGAUAAGAAGGUCUGGAAAAGGAAGUGAGAAGUUACGAGAUGCUACUGCAAAGGUCUCUGUGUCGUUAGUCUGGCCCAUUAGGUCAGCUGUCCCACGCUCUUCAGGUUUUGUGAGGUUAAAAUAUUCCAAAACCACAGAAAUUCCAAUCUUAAAUGGAGAUGACUAAAUCAGAAUCAGAAGGUCACAAAGGAAGCUGGAACAUUCUCUGGAACUUUUCUCUAGAG
rnacentral:lncRNA from 1 species